ACCGUCGGGGAUAGCUGGUAUGUCUUCUGAUUUCUCUUCUUCGUCUUCUGAUUUUCUUCUUGUUUGAUUGGAUUUGUUGGGGUUUUUUCUUGAUUCCUUGAUUAUUUGGAUGGACUGGAGGAAACUUUUUGAGGUUCAGCAAGACUCUCUGGAUUUUUCCCUCCAAUUAUUCAGGAUGGAUUCAUCGUUGUUAAGCCUCCGGCGGAGGUUUUGAAUGAGGGGGUUACUGCCUGGCGGUACUCCUUGGUAGCACAAUUUCUCGGUAGAUCUCCCAAUUUUGGUGCGAUGCAGAAACUUGUGAAUAUUCUUUGGGGGGAAAUGGAGGAAGUAGCGGUGAAGCUUGCGGGUAUAAUCUCUUUGUGUUUCAAUUCCUUAACGAUACAGCGAGGGAUUGGGUGUUUGAGAACGACCCUUGGCAUGUGCAAAAUGUCCCGAUGAUCUUGAGGAAAUGGGAGCCUGAUUUGAAGCGGUUAGAUUUUAACCUAGAUCGAAUUUCAAUUUGGGUUCAGUUGUGUGGAGUUCCUUUGGAGUUGUUCACGUAAAAGGGUCUGAGCUACAUUGCAAGCGCUUUGGGGAUUCCUCUUUACAUGGAUGGUAUCACAUUUUCUCGGCAACGUCUUGAUUAUGCAAAGGUUGCUAAAUCGGCUACCAGAAAGAAGGCCAAGGGGAAACUUUAACAGGUGAUUAUGAAGAGUAAUUUUGUUGUGUUAGAUUAAGUUGACCCUGAAUAUGUUAUUGAGUAUCCUCCUAGAAGGGCCAGGGCAGCUGCGGCUGGGGUUGCUCAUUUGCUGCAUGAAAUGAAAGUCAAGAAGAAGUCCACUUUGGAGAAAGUUAAAAAAGUGAGUGAAUGAGCUAGCUCUUUAGGUUGUUCUUCUUUGGUUCAAUCAUCAUGAUUGUGUGCUUUUGGAAUGUCCGGGGGAUGAAUAACCCCUCUAAACUGUCCAAAAUUGUCCAAAGGCUAGAGGAUUUGCAUAUUGACAUUGCCUCUUUGUUGGAAACUCGGGUAAAGGUUAGUAACAUGUCUUGGAUUGUUAGUGAUAAAUUUGCUGACUGGAAUUAUUGUGCCAAUUAUGAUUUUACUGAGAAUUUUCGCAUUUAGGUUCUUUGGAGAAACAUUUAAAUAUGGCUGUUUGUCAGGCUGCUGAUCAAUAUAUUUCUGUUCGGGGUGUUCUUAAUGAUAAUCAUGUUUUCAUUACUGUUGUUUAUGGCAUUAAUGACGUUAUCGUUAGAAUGCAUUUGUGGGAUCAACUAAGAGCUAUGGAAAGUUUUGUAAACUCUGCUCUUUGGCUUGUGGGGGUGACUUCAAUGUCAUCCUCUGUUCAAAUAAAACUUGUCAUUUUGAUUCUGUUGGGUUUCAUUUGAAUGCUGCUAUGAGAGAUUUUUAGGACUGUUUGGGAGACUCGUCUUUGGUUGAUUAUUCUUAUUUGGGGCCUAAUUUUACUUGGACUAAUAAGAAUGAUGUUGGUUUUGUUGCUAAAAAGCUUGAUAGAGUCCUUAUCAGUCCCUCAAAGGCUGUUGCUUUUCUUGGAUCUUUUGUGGAGUUUCAGGCUCCAGGUACUUCUGACCACUGUUUGGCUGUGGCUUGGCUGCUUAAGGAGAAGCCUAUAAAGAAACCAAAGCCCUUUAAAGUUUUUAACUUUUGGGUUGCUCAUCCUGACUUCCUCACCACUGUUGCUGAGUCUUGGAAUCUUCCUAUUCGGGGAAAAACAGCUCUUCGAUGAAUUGUGUGAUUUGGAAAAGGCUGAGAGCAUGUUCUAUAAGCAGAAAGCCAAGAUUAGUUGGCUUUGUCAAGGGGAUCAAUCUACCAAAUUUUUCCACUUUGCUGUUGCUGCUCGUCAUAAGAAAAAUACUAUUAGGACUUUAUUUGAUGAUACUGGUAUGAGAUUAGACACGUUUGAUGCUAUGUCUGCUGGGAUGGUGAAUUUUUUUGUUAAGCUUAUUGGUACUAAGGACUCUAAAGUUCGAGGGUGUGAGGUGCAAAGUCUUAAGAGUUUAAUUCAAUACUCUCUUCCUGAGGGUAGUGUUGAGGCUCUGACUAUGGGUGUAAUAAAUGCUGAAAUCAAAGCUGCCAUAUUUGGGCAAGGGGGAUAAAGCCCCUGGACUUGAUGGUUUCUCCUCGCAGUUUUUCAAGUCUGCCUGGUCUGUGGUUGGGGAUGAUUUCUGCUACUAUUGGUUUUUCUUUGAAGCUGCUUGGAUGCCCCCAGCUUUUAAUUCCACUGCUAUUGUCUUGAUGCCUAAGGUUAUUCAUUCGGAUAAGGAAAAUGACUUUCGACCGAUUUCAUGUUGUUCAGUUGUAUACAAGACAGCUACUAGGAUCUUGGUUGAUAGGCUUGUUUCGUUUUUCCCUGGUAUGAUUUCCCUCAAUCAAACUGCGUUUGUGAAGGGGAGGAGCAUCAUUGAUAAUAAGCUGCUAGCUCAGGAGAUUGCGAAAGGGUAUGCUAGCAAGACCCUGCCUCCUAGAAUUGCUUUAAAAAUUGAUUUGCAAAAGGCUUUUGAUUCCUUGUCCUGGGAUUUCGUUCUUAAUAUUUUGGAAGCUAUGAGACUGCCUAGUAUAUUUAAGGGAUGGAUUCAUACUUUUCUAACCUCUCCUAGAUUCUCCAUCUCAUUCAAUGGUAGUUUGGUGGGCUACUUUGAGGGUGCUAGAGGCAUCAGGCAAGGGCCCCCCCGGUCCCUUACCUUUUUGUUUUAGGUAUGAAUGUUCUUUUAAAAAUGUUGGAUUUGGCUGCAACUAAUGGGUUUUUUGAAUUUCAUCCAAAAUGCAAAAAAGUUUGCCUUACUUAAGCUUUGCGAAUGACUUGCUGGUCUUUUGUAAGAGUACUUUAGAUUCAGUGAUUGGUGUUCAGUGUGUUUUGGGAGGAGUUUUACGCAAUGUCAGGGCUUUACCUAAAUGCUGCCAAGAGUGAGCUAUUCUCCUCGGUGGUCCCUGCUAGUCUUUUGGAGGUUAUUCUGAGUGUUUCAGGUUUUAAGCGUGGUCCCCUCCCUGUUAGGUAUUUGGAGGUUCCUCUUGUGACUCAGAAGCUUACGAAGAAUGAUUGCUUGCCCUUCUUGGAAAAGAUUAAGGCCAAACUUGGUCAGUAGUCGGGUAAGAUGUUGAGCUAUGCUCGGUUGCAACUCAUAAAGUCUGUGUUGAUGGGGAUCACAAAUUUUUGAUGCAGACAAUUAAUUUUGCCCAAGGCCGUUAUUCAGAUGGUCAAUCAAUUAUGCAUGAGAUAUUUUUUUGAAAGGUACUGAUGCUAAGACAGUGGUGGCUAAGGUGAAUUGGCAUACUGUGUACUCUUUGAAAUCUGAAUGAGGAUUAGGAUUGAAAGAUAUUUGCUGCUGAAAUAGGGCAUGUUUGUUCCAUCUGCUGCGGACUCUUCUGGCUGGUGAACGAUUCCUCUGGGGGACUGGGUGCAUGCUUAUGUACUCAAAGGUGUUGAUUUUUGGGCUACUGAUUGUCGAGCUGAUGCCAGUUGGACCUUAAGGAAGAUGUUUCAAUUUAGGAGUGAGGCUGCUGAUAUUUUUGCUGCUGUUUCGAGUGGGCAAAAGGUUAAUGCUACUUGGAUAUGGGGGGAGAUUCGGGAAAAGAAACCUCAUAUCCCUUGGCAGAGGUUAAUUUGGUUUUCUAGGCACACCCCGAAGCAUGUUAUUAUUUCAUAGCUGACUAUUUUGGAUCGGUUUCACACCAAGGACAGACUGGUAAUGAUGAAUUUCUCGGUGGUCUCCUUUUGUGUGAACUGUGAUGAUGCGAUUGAACCUAGGAAUCACAUAUUCUUUGAGUGUUCCUUCAGUCGGGGCAUUUGUGGUUGGAUUUUGCGCCUGUGUAACAUUAACAGGGAUGUCUUUGAUUGGGAACGGGAGUUAGCUUGGGCUUGGGCUUGCUCUUGCUUAAAGGGUAAGUCACUUUGAUUUUUCAUGCUUAAAACUGCUUGGAGUGCUCUACCUUUAUUGUGUUUGGGAAGAACGAAAUCAUAGGGUUUUCAGGAGAAAGUCUAGGUCGAUUGAUGAGGUUUUUGGGUUGAUUCAAGUUGUUGUUGAGAUCAAAGUCAGGAGUAGGGGCUUUAAUUGUUCUAAUAUUGUAAGUAAGGGGCUUUGUGAUGCUUGGGGUAUAGCUUAGUUUUGGGGUUUGCUUGUCUUUGUAUAGCUUUGUUUUCUGUUGGGGUUCACCUUGUUUUUGUUGGGUGACUCUUU